rnacentral:rRNA from 1 species
AGAAAGCCGAGCAAUCUUGUGAGUAAAGUGGCGUACGGGUGAGUAACACGUGGAUUAUCUACCCUCUUGUGGGGGAUAACCCUGGGAAACCGGGGCUAAUACCGCAUAAGUCCGAGAGGAGAAAGCAGCAAUGCGCAGGAGGAGGAGUCCGCGGCCGAUUAGCUAGUUGGUAGGGUAAAAGCCUACCAAGGCUACGAUCGGUAGCCGGCCUGAGAGGGCACACGGCCACACUGGCACUGAAACACGGGCCAGACUCCUACGGGAGGCAGCAGUGGGGAAUCUUGCACAAUGGGGGCAACCCUGAUGCAGCGACGCCGCGUGAGCGAUGAAGCCCUUCGGGGUGUAAAGCUCUUUCGGCAGGGAAGAUUAUGACGGUACCUGCAGAAGCAGCUGCGGCUAACUACGUGCCAGCAGCCGCGGUAAUACGUAGGCAGCAAGCGUUGUUCGGAGUUACUGGGCGUAAAGGGUGUGUAGGCGGUUUUCUAAGUCUGGUGUGAAAUCUCCCGGCUCAACUGGGAGGGUGCGCCGAAAACUGGAAGGCUAGAGUGCGGGAUGGGAGAGUGGAAUUCCUGGUGUAGCGGUGAAAUGCGUAGAUAUCAGGAGGAACACCUGUGGUGUAGACGGCUCUCUGGACCGCAACUGACGCUGAGACACGAAAGCGUGGGUAGCAAACAGGAUUAGAUACCCUGGUAGUCCACGCCCUAAACGAUGCAUAUUUGGUGUGGGCCAUUCAUUUGGUCCGUGCCGGAGCUAACGCGUUAAAUAUGCCGCCUGGGGAGUACGGUCGCAAGGCUG